rnacentral:misc_RNA from 1 species
UUGCGAUAAGUAGUAUGAAUUGCAAAUUCUGUGAAUCAUCGAAUCUUUGAACGCAUAUUGCGCUCUCUGGUACUCCGGAGAGCAUGCCUGUUUGAGGGUAAUUAAUUAAAUCUUUGAUCUUUUGGUCAAGGGAUAUGGGCACUCCGUGUUUAGCGCGGUCGCCUAAAAUGUAUGGUUGGUCUCAUCAAGUUGAGAUGUGUAAUAAUAUUUAUUUCACAAAAACGCUUGAUAUGCUACCAAGUUUUGAUCUAUCCAACUCUGUUAGAUGUGGUCAAAACAAAUAUUUUUGACAUUACCUCAAAUCAGGUAGGAAUACCCGCUGAACUUAA